rnacentral:rRNA from 1 species
GUGAGGAAUUUUCCGCAAUGGGCGAAAGCCUGACGGAGCAAUGCCGCGUGAAGGAUUAAGGUCCUCUGGAUUGUAAACUUCUUUUAUAAGGGACGAAAAAAGGCUUUUCUAAGUCGUCUGACGGUACCUUAUGAAUAAGCACCGGCUAACUCCGUGCCAGCAGCCGCGGUAAUACGGAGGGUGCAAGCGUUAUCCGGAUUCACUGGGUUUAAAGGGUGCGUAGGCGGGCAGGUAAGUCAGUGGUGAAAUCCUAGAGCUUAACUCUAGAACUGCCAUUGAUACUAUCUGUCUUGAAUAUUGUGGAGGUAAGCGGAAUAUGUCAUGUAGCGGUGAAAUGCUUAGAUAUGACAUAGAACACCUAUUGCGAAGGCAGCUUACUACGCAUAUAUUGACGCUGAGGCACGAAAGCGUGGGGAUCAAACAGGAUUAGAAACCCUGGUAGUCC